UACGUAGGGGGCUAGCGUUGUCCGGAUUUAUUGGGCGUAAAGAGCGUGUAGGCGGCCAGGUAGGUCUGGUGAUGAAAACUCGAGGCUUAACCUCGAGAUGUCAUCGGAAACCAAUCUGGCUAGAGUCCGGGAAGAGGAGAGUGGAAUUCCGUGGUGUAGCGGUGAAAGUGCGCAGAUAUCAGGAAGAACACCAAUGGCGAAAGCAGCUCUCUGGGGACGGUACUGACGCUGAGACGCGAAAGCGUGGGGAGCGAACAGG
rnacentral:rRNA from 1 species